AAGGAUAUAUUCGGAACAUCUUCUUCAGAAGAUGCGGAAUAAYGUGACAUAUUGUAUUCAGUUUUGAAUGUUUAUUUAACAUUCAAAUAUUUUUUGGUUAAAGUGAUAUUGCUUAUGCGAGCGCUUGACAAUCUAUUCUUUUUAAAGAAAGCGGUUGUCAGACAAUGCAUUAAGAAAAAUUAAAGCGGAGUUUACUUUUGUAAAUGAGCAUUUGAUUUUUUGAAAAUAAAGCAGUAUGCGAGCGCUUGACUAAAAAGAAAUUGUACAUUGAAAACUAGAUAAGUAAGUAAAAUAUAGAUUUUACCAAGCAAAACCGAGUGAAUAAAGAGUUUUAAAUAAGCUUGAAUUCAUAAGAAAUAAUCGCUAGUGUUCGAAAGAACACUCACAAGAUUAAUAACGCGUUUAAAUCUUUUUAUAAAAGAAAACGUUUAGCAGACAAUGAGUUAAAUUAUUUUAAAGCAKAGUUUACUUAUGUAAAUGAGCAUUUAAAAUAAUGAAAACGAAGCCGUAUGUGAGCGUUUGACUUAUAAAAAUGGUGGAAACAUA
rnacentral:misc_RNA from 1 species